rnacentral:rRNA from 1 species
GUAGGUGGCAAGCGUUGUCCGGAAUUAUUGGGCGUAAAGCGCGCGCAGGCGGUUCUUUAAGUCUGAUGUGAAAGCCCACGGCUCAACCGUGGAGGGUCAUUGGAAACUGGAGAACUUGAGUACAGAAGAGGAAAGCGGAAUUCCACGUGUAGCGGUGAAAUGCGUAGAGAUGUGGAGGAACACCAGUGGCGAAGGCGGCUUUCUGGUCUGUAACUGACGCUGAGGCGCGAAAGCGUGGGGAGCAAACAGGGAUUAGAUACCCUGGUAGUCCACGCCGUAAACGAUGAGUGCUAAGUGUUAGGGGGUUUCCGCCCCCUUAGUGCUGCAGCUAACGCAUUAAGCACUCCGCCUGGGGUGUACGGCCGCAAGGCUG